AACAACUCGACGUCGUCGGGGAGCUCCUUUGCCCUCUCGACAUCCUUCCUCUCCACCCUCCGCUCUACACUCGAUGAGAUCCAAAAGCUCAUUUCCGUCCUCUCCACCUUCUCCGACGUCCUCGGCGGCGACCUCCGCCUCUCCUCCGCCGUCUCAGACUGCCUUGACCUCCUCGACCUCUCCUCCGACGAGCUCUCCUUGACCAUCUCCGCCUCCCAGCCCUCCACCACCUCCACCGCCGCCUCCGCCGCCGCCGAAGGUACCGGCAAGCGCCUCUCCGACCUCCGCUCCUGGCUGAGUGCCGCCCUCGGUAACCAGGACACCUGCAAGGAGUCCCUCGACGGGACCAGCAGCGUCGUCGG
rnacentral:lncRNA from 1 species